rnacentral:rRNA from 1 species
AUUGAACGCUGGCGGCAUGCCUUACACAUGCAAGUCGAACGGCAGCACGGGAGCAAUCCUGGUGGCGAGUGGCGAACGGGUGAGUAAAGUAUCGGAACGUGCCCAGUCGUGGGGGAUAACGUAGCGAAAGUUACGCUAAUACCGCAUACGAUCUAUGGAUGAACGCGGGGGGUCGCAAGACCUCGCCCGAUUGGAGCGGCCGAUAUCAGAUUAGGUAGUUGGUGGGGUAAAGGCGCACCAAGCCGACGAUCUGUAGCUGGUCUGAGAGGACGACCAGCCACACUGGGACUGAGACACGGCCCAGACUCCUACGGGAUGCAGCAGUGGGGAAUUUUGGACAAUGGGCGCAGGCCUGAUCCAGCCAUGCCGCGUGCAGGAUGAAGGCCUUCGGGUUGUAAACUGCUUCUGUACGGAACGAAAAGGUUUGACUUAAUACGUUGGACUCAUGACGGUACCGUAAGAAUAAGCACCGGCUAACUACGUGCCAGCAGCCGCUGUAA